UNUAUUUAAGCAUUUUUACUUAAAAUUUAAAUUCUAAUUUUUUUAUUAAGACAAUUAAAAUUUCAUCUAUKCCUUCAUUCUAGUUUUCAUUUAAAAAACAAUUGAUUAUGCUACCUUAGUACAGUCAAUAUACUGCAGCUAUUUAAUUCUAUAAUCAUUGAGCAGAACUAAUUUUUUAAUAAACACAAAAAACCAUGUUUUUGAUAAACRGG
rnacentral:rRNA from 1 species